GUCUUCUGGAAGAAAUGGAAGACCUUUGAUGUAAAAGAUUUUGGAGUUGGGGAAGAUUAGGUUAUUCAGAAAACAUGUUCCACUAGGAAUAACAAAAAAGACUGGAUAAAAUAUAAAGAGCAUUUUCUAAAAUAAGAUAAGGGCCAACUGAAAGGAACGUUGGUGAGAAGUGACUUUUGCUCUAGGGCAUCUGCCAAUUCUAGCAAGAGCCGUUAGAUGGGGGUCCAGCAACCCAUGCAAGUUGAGAAAGCAGUUAUCUCAAAAGGAUUGCACCCUCAGAGCAAGUGCAUCCAGAAGCAAACUAGCUUUUAUGUGGCUUGACAGUCAAGGUAAAUGUCCAGACAAUAUUAAACCUUGAACUUGAUGUAAGGUGGGACUACAUCAGUGAUAACCCAAGUGCUCAACAGAAACAAACAUAAAUAUUCUCUGGAGAAACUUACCUUCUCCAAAAAUCACAGAUUAUUCCAAAAAUAUUUAUCACAUUGUUGAAGAUAAUUAGGCACAUAAAGAAACAAGGAACCAUGAACAAGAACCAGCACAAAGAUGGCAGGAGCAACCCUAUAAAAACUUCAGAAACUGGAAAUAUCAGACCUUUUAUACAUAACAUUAUACUUACUAUGUUUAAAGAAAUAUAAGGCAAGCCUGAAAAAAGUAUGGCACAAAUAGCAAACUAAAAAGCAGCUUAGCAAACUGGGCAUAGUGGGUCAUGCCUGUAAUCCCAGUGACUCAGGAGGCUGAGGCAGGAGGACUGUGAUUUCAAGGCCAGCCUCAGCAACUUAGUGAGGCCCUAUGCCUCUUAGGGAGCCAGUCUCACAAUAAAAAAUAAAAAGAGGCUUGAAAUGUAUCUCAGGGGUAAAGCACCCCUGAGUUAAAAAAAAAAAAAGAGAAGAAAAGGCAGCUUGACAGAUUUUCAGUUUGAAAAAAAAAGUGAGUAUAGGUUCAAAAAAUGAAAAACACAUAAGUUAAAAUUCAACAGAUGAAUUUAACAAUAUUUUAGGUAGCAUUAAAAAGAAGAUUAAACAUUGGGUCGGAAGAGGUUACCUAGAGUGUAAUACAGAGGGUUGAAAGUAUAUCCAAAAGACAUAUGAAAGAGAGUUGGAGAAUAAAAGUUAGAGAGUAGAAAAGACUAAAGCAAAUUUCAAUAGAGUUCCAGAAGGAGAGUAGUGAGAGAAUGGAGCAGAGCAUGAUGUUGAGGGAUUAGCUGAGGUUUUUUGGAACUGAUAAAAAAAUUACAAUGUCUACGAAUGCCAGGAGAAAUAAAGGAGAAGCCUACCAGAAACAUCAUGCAUCAGAGCACCAAAGACAAAGAGAGAACAUUUUAAAGCAGCAGGAGAAAAAGACAGGUUAUUUUCAAAGAGCCUCAUUUUCUUCAUGUAUUAAAUGAAAAUAAC
rnacentral:lncRNA from 1 species